AUUGAACGCUGGCGGCAUGCCUUACACAUGCAAGUCGAACGGCAGCGGGGGAGAAGCUUGCUUUUCCUGCCGGCGAGUGGCGAACGGGUGAGUAAUACAUCGGAACGUGCCCUGUAGUGGGGGAUAACUAGUCGAAAGAUUAGCUAAUACCGCAUACGACCUGAGGGUGAAAGUGGGGGACCGCAAGGCCUCAUGCUAUAGGAGCGGCCGAUGUCUGAUUAGCUAGUUGGUGGGGUAAAGGCCUACCAAGGCGACGAUCAGUAGCUGGUCUGAGAGGACGAUCAGCCACACUGGGAGUGAGACACGGCCCAGACUCCUACGGGAGGCAGCAGUGGGGAAUUUUGGACAAUGGGCGAAAGCCUGAUCCAGCAAUGCCGCGUGUGUGAAGAAGGCCUUCGGGUUGUAAAGCACUUUUGUCCGGAAAGAAAUGGCUCUGGUUAAUACCUGGGGUCGAUGACGGUACCGGAAGAAUAAGGACCGGCUAACUACGUGCCAGCAGCCGCAGUAA
rnacentral:rRNA from 1 species